rnacentral:rRNA from 1 species
UCUUAAUUAGAGGAUCGUAUGAAAGGUGAGACAGAUAAGAUCUAGUUUUUAUUUUAAAGUUUUAAUUUGAUUGGUCGGUUAAAAUCCCGAUCUGUUAUUUAGGGACGAGAAGACCCUAUAAAGUUUGACUUUCAAGCCCAAUUGUGAGGGGGAUCAAGUUUUGUUGGGGCAACACUAUAAGAUCGAAUCUUAUAAUAAUGAAUUUUUAUCAAAAUCUUUUUGAGCUACUACUAGUACUAUCUGUAUAAAUUACUUUAGGGAUAACAGCACAAUUAAGAUUUUUAAGUUCAAAUUUACAAUCUUGAUUAUGACCUCGAUGUUG